rnacentral:rRNA from 1 species
CACGCAGUAAACGAUGAUUACUUGCUGUUUGCGAUACACAGUAAGCGGCGAAGCGAAAGCGUUAAGUAAUCCACCUGGGGAGUACGUUCGCAAGAAUGAAACUCAAAGGAAUUGACGGGGGCCCGCACAAGCGGAGGAACAUGUGGUUUAAUUCGAUGAUACGCGAGGAACCUUACCCGGGCUUGAAAUGCAUUCGACGGGGGUUGGAAACAGCCUUUCCCUUCGGGGCGGAUGCGUAGGUGC